rnacentral:rRNA from 1 species
GGGCCAGUAGGUUGGUCGUGCCACCGGUACGUACUGGUCUCACUGAUUCCUCCUUCCUGAAGAACCGUAAUGCCAUUAAUUUGGUGUUGCGGGGAAACAGGACUGUUACUUUGAAAAAAUUAGAGUGUUUAAAGCAAGCUAACGCUUGAAUACAUUAGCAUGGAAUAAUGUAAUAGGACGAUCGAUCCUAUUUUGUUGGUUUCUAGGAUUGACGUAAUGAUUAAUAGGGAUAUGGG